UGGGGAAUAUUGCGCAAUGUGGGAAACCCUGACGCAGCAACGCCGCGUGAAGGAUGAAGGUUUUCGGAUUGUAAACUUCUUUGAUGAGGGACGAACACAAUGACGGUACCUCAAAAACAAGCCACGGCUAACUACGUGCCAGCAGCCGCGGUAAUACGUAGGUGGCGAGCGUUGUCCGGAAUUACUGGGCGUAAAGGGCGCGUAGGCGGCCUGAUAAGUCAGAUGUGAAACCCCCAGGCUCAACUUGGGGCAUGCAUUUGAAACUGUCGGGCUCGAGUGUCGGAGAGGGAAGCGGAAUUCCUAGUGUAGCGGUGAAAUGCGUAGAUAUUGGGAGGAACACCAGUGGCGAAGGCGGCUUUCUGGACGACAACUGACGCUGAGGCGCGAAAGCGUGGGGAGCAAACAGG
rnacentral:rRNA from 1 species